AGCGAACGCUGGCGGCAGGCCUAACACAUGCAAGUCGAACGAACUCUUCGGAGUUAGUGGCGGACGGGUGAGUAACACGUGGGAACGUGCCUUUUGGUUCGGAAUAACUCAGGGAAACUUGUGCUAAUACCGAAUGCGCCCUUCGGGGGAAAGAUUUAUCGCCAUUAGAGCGGCCCGCGUCUGAUUAGCCAGUUGGUGAGGUAACGGCUCACCAAGGCGACGAUCAGUAGCUGGUCUGAGAGGAUGACCAGCCACACUGGGACUGAGACACGGCCCAGACUCCUACGGGAGGCAGCAGUGGGGAAUCUUGCGCAAUGGGCGAAAGCCUGACGCAGCCAUGCCGCGUGAAUGAUGAAGGUCUUAGGAUUGUAAAAUUCUUUCACCGGGGACGAUAAUGACGGUACCCGGAGAAGAAGCCCCGGCUAACUUCGUGC
rnacentral:rRNA from 1 species